rnacentral:tRNA from 1 species
GAGGUGCUAGUUAAAUGAUAUAACAUUGCCCUGUCAGCGCAAAAUCGCAGGUUAAACCCCCGCCCACCUUG